rnacentral:rRNA from 1 species
AAAUUGAAGAGUUUGAUCAUGGCUCAGAUUGAACGCUGGCGGCAGGCCUAACACAUGCAAGUCGAACGGUAACAGGAAGCAGCUUGCUGCUUCGCUGACGAGUGGCGGACGGGUGAGUAAUGUCUGGGAAACUGCCUGAUGGAGGGGGAUAACUACUGGAAACGGUGGCUAAUACCGCAUAACGUCGCAAGACCAAAGAGGGGGACCUUCGGGCCUCUUGCCAUCAGAUGUGCCCAGAUGGGAUUAGCUUGUUGGUGAGGUAACGGCUCACCAAGGCGACGAUCCCUAGCUGGUCUGAGAGGAUGACCAGCCACACUGGAACUGAGACACGGUCCAGACUCCUACGGGAGGCAGCAGUGGGGAAUAUUGCACAAUGGGCGCAAGCCUGAUGCAGCCAUGCCGCGUGUAUGAAG